rnacentral:lncRNA from 1 species
UUAGAAUUCCAAUCUGUAAUGCACUGUGCAGACACUUAAGCAUGAAUCAUUGUCCUGAAGUCUAAAUAAACAAAAGACUAAAUUUAUGGUCUAAAUUAAAGAGAAAAUAAAUAACAUCUGACAAAGAAUUCUUCCUAUGUUGCAGAUGGGAAAUGGAGUCAAUGCAAGAUUAAGUGAUUUGACGUCACCAGGGUCAUCCAGGCAACCUGUGGCAGCUAUUGGCAUUGAAUUGCUGCCUCCUGACUGCCAAGCUUAAUGGCAGAACCAUCUUUCUUUCCAUGAUACCUUUGCUCUUCUUAACUCUUUCACAUUUUGAUCUGCAGAUUAGACAGACAGGUUGCUGUGGCGACGACACAGAGGAGGUCUCCUGCACACCUGCACCGCAAACAGGGAGUCCUGCCAACACAGACUUAAGGAAUCCUGAAGGCAUCUUUUUUUUUAUUCUUCUUUUUUUUUUUUUUCUUCCUAUGUGGAGUGCACAAGAGAGGGGAGAAGGCAAAAAAAUAGUAGGAGAUGGCAAAUGA